rnacentral:rRNA from 1 species
CCAAUAGCGUAUAUUAAAGUUGUUGCAGUUAAAAAGCUCGUAGUUGAAUUUCGGGAUCAUCAGGUUGGUCGUGCCUCUGGUAUGUACCGAUUUCGAUGGUUCCUCCUUCUUGAAGAUCCGUAAUGCCAUUAAUUUGGUGUUGCGGGGAAUCAGGACUGUUACUUUGAAAAAAUUAGAGUGUUUAAAGCAGGCAAUCGCUUGAAUACAUUAGCAUGGAAUAAUGAAAUAGGACGUUCGAUCCUAUUUUGUUGGUUUCUAGGAUUGACGUAAUGAUUAAUAGGGAUAGUUGGGGGCAUUAGUAUUCAAUUGUCAGAGGUGAAAUUCUUGGAUUUAUUGCAGACUAACUACUGCGAAAGCACUUGCCAAGGAUGUUUUCAUUAAUCAAGAACGAAAGUUAGGGGAUCGAAGACGAUCAGAUACCGUCGUAGUCUUAACCAUAAACUAUGCCGACUAGGGAUCGGAUGAUGUUAAUUUUUUAAUGACUCAUUCGGCGCCUUACG